rnacentral:lncRNA from 1 species
UUAUUUAAUAAUAAUUUUACAUAUUCAUCUUUUAAUUUAGAGUGUCCGGGGUUCAAAUCCAGGACCUACAUAUAAUAUAUGUUAUCCUUACCAACUGAGUUAAGCUCAUGAGGAUUUACAUAUUCAUUUAUCUCAUAUAAUUUAUAGGUAUACAAUAACUUUUUUAUUUCCAUAUAUAUCUUGUAAAAGAAAACAAAGGAAGUCAUCGUUGCCUUAUACGUGCUUAUCUGUAGAGAAAAAUUGAAUUGUGCAAGAAAAUAUUAAGAGAGAAAAAUUAGUGUUAAAUAAUUAACACGUUAAAAUAAAAUGAUACAUUUAGAAGUAACAAAAUUAUUUUUCAACUUACCUAAGAAUUUCUUCUAUUUACACAAACACGUAGAAUGGAUGCAUUUCGCAAUUGUAAGUUUUUCACAAAAAUAAGAUGGACAAUCAGAGUCUUGACGACAUUCCUUCUUACGUAUGCCUCCCAUUACAACUAAAAGUAGUGAAAGAAAUAGGAUGGCAACAUAUACAAACUUG